UCCCUACGGGGUGCAGCAGUCGCGAAAACUUUGCAAUACACGAAAGUGUGACAGGGCUAUCCCGAGUGCCAUCCGCUGAGGAAGGCUUUUACCCAGUCUAGAACGCUGGGGGAAUAAGGAGAGGGCAAGUCUGGUGUCAGCCGCCGCGGUAAUACCAGCUCUCCGAGUGGUGUGGAUGUUUAUUGGGCCUAAAGCAUCCGUAGCUGGCUGAGUUAGUCCCUUGUUAAAUCCACCGAAUUAAUCGUUGGAUUGCGGGGGAUACUGCUCGGCUAGGGGACGAGAGAGGCAGACGGUAUUUCUGGGGUAGGGGUGAAAUCCUAUAAUCCCGAGGAGACCACCAGUGGCGAAGGCUGUCUGCUAGAACGCGCCCGACGGUGAGGGAUGAAAGCUGGGGGAGCGAACCGGAUUAGAUACCCGGGUAGUCCCAGCUGUAAACGAUGCAGACUAGGUGUUUGGACGGCCACGUGCCGUUCUAGUGCCGCAGGGAAGCUGUUAAGUCUGCCGCCUGGGGAGUACGAUCGCAAGAUUGAAACUUAAAGGAAUUGGCGGGGGAGCACCACAAGGGGUGAAGCUUGCGGUUUAAUUGGAGUCAACGCCGGAAAUCUCACCGGGAGCGACAGCAGUAUGAAGGCCAGAUUAAAGGUCUUGCCAGACGAGCUGAGAGGAGGUGCAUGGCCA
rnacentral:rRNA from 1 species